UUAAACUGCAAUCAUAAGUAAGUUUUUCGUCCAACUUUAAUCCUCCGUCUUAUUUGAAAUUUUUUUAUAAUUAGUAUUUUUUAUGAGAUGAUAAAAUAUGAAUAUUACUUUCCUCGUGACUUAUGUUUUCAAACUUUUUUAAAAAAUUAUAAAUAAGACGGACGGUCAAUGUUAGACGCGGAAAACUAUGGCUACACUUAAA
rfam:Oryza barthii chromosome 1, whole genome shotgun sequence.